UAAGCAGAAGUGAGAUUAUGGUGGCAAGCCCCACUUCUGACCCACAUGUUUUGACAUGGCUAUUUGUAUGGUCCCAAUGCAUGUACAAAUAAUACAUGCUUAACCUCUUUUUGUGCAGCUUUUCCAGCAUCCUUGACUGGGUUUACAGAGCUUGCUGCUGGGAUUGCACUCUGCAGCAUGAACAAUCACUAAAUAUGUAUGUGGAUUGCAUGAAGAAUCUUCACGUAGCAUGGAAGAGGAUUCCAUGACUUCUCUAUGCCAAGAGGAAGUUGAUGACAUAAUUGACACCUAAAACAGAGCAAGGAACUACAGGUCAUCCGUUUGAGGUGUUGGUGAAGUCAUCAUGCAGAGAAGGAGGAACAGAACUGAGAGUCUCUGUGUUGCCCAGCAAAGUAAAGACAGACCUGAAAGUAUGGUUCAUAGAAGGCUUCGAUAAAACUAGAUAAUGAUACCAUCCACACAGCAUGGUGCAUGAUCUGCCUGAAUCUUAACACCAAUCUCUCCUUCUCUUGGUGUCAUCACUGCCCACAAAGCUUCUGAAGGAAUAAUGCCUUCUGCCGUGUCUGAGAAAGCCGUGCAGUCUGACACCUUCUUUAUGCUUCCUCCAUCUGUGCGACUUUCCUGUGCAACUUGUAGCCUAAUUAUGAAGUCCCCUCCUCUGGAACCUGCUGUCUCCCACAAAAGGUUGCCUUUGAUAUAAUUAAGUCUCUGUAUAAAAGUACAUUUAAAAUG